ensembl:lncRNA
AUAUCAUGGCAGGCUCAGGAAGCUGUCAGUGUAAAAAUCAAACAUGAUAAAGAAACCUUGAAAACUAUCAGCAGGGUUGUUUUUGACGCGAGGAUGCACUCAUUAUUGCUACAUUUCAGAAGCUGACUCUUUAAACAGUCUUUACAGAUGAGUAGGGUACCUUACAGUGCUCCAAAUGAUUGGACUCCAGGUAAAACUCAGAGAAUUCAGGAGGGAAGGUCAUUGCUGGGCAGGGAGGGCAUUUCUGGGAAAUCCAGAUGAGAGUGCUGUGAGCACAGGCUGUGUCAAAACCGCUCGGCAAGGGCUCCCUCCCUCUCUCCUGGUGGGAAGGCCACCCUGAGCCCCAAACCACGUUCUCCUCCUCCCCCCGCCCCAUCAUUCUGCAGACAAGGGUCAUCCACAGACCACACGUGUGGUGGCUUUGGCAACCAGAAAUUAAAAAUAAGCUAUGGUUUUUCCAGUAGCCAAAAUGAUCCUUCAAAGCUCACAGACUGAGAACUUGAGCAUACAAAACCACAGUCUGGGUGAAGGGAUGUCUGCUUUUCAAAUGACCUGCUAAUUCUUUGCAACCCACAGUAAUUUGGUUUCUGUGAACUCACAGAAGCGGUCCUACCAAAAAGGGCCUUGUCUGCUAACCUGGAAAAGUCCUUGUAUGAAUGAGUCACUGGCAAUGGGAUCAGUCAUUUUUCAGGCUGCCUCAUUUUCCUAACAUGUUAAAGUGUUUCUUCUCAGUCUUUUUAGGAGAGGGGUAAGCAAAGCUGCAGUUACGUUCAGAGUAUGGAGUAGGCCCCACAGAUGCACCGAAUCGGCUUGGGAGAAGGUGGGUGGCAUCAUGGGACUGCUCUCCAGGCUUUCUAGAGGGAGGUCAAUGGAAAGAUGGACAGUGAAGACCAUUUCAGGAAACUCUAAGUUGCUUGGGAAAUUAAUGGUUGAGGGCUCAUAGGACAGUAGGGGAGCAAAACUAUUCUACUUCCCUGGCUGCAAAGCCGUGAAGUAUCUGUAGCAUGUGGUUAACUCACAUUGGUUCUAAGGCUCAGCAUGUUCUCUACUCUUAUGCAUUAAAAAAAAAUGAAGGAAACUGUGUGUUAGAGAUCAGUUGCCUCCACUGGCAGCUGAAUGACUCUUAUGGUCCUAGUAUGGUCUUGAAUAUUUUCCAUGUCUUUAAAUCUAAAUACAGUAUAUAUAGUGGAAAAUUUGCAACCAUCCAACAUAAUUUCCCCCCUCCCCCCUCAAAAAACAUAACGUUACUCAAUAGACAAAAUUACAUAAAACCUCACAACAUCCUUGGGAGGUAGACAUUGUUAUGACCUUACAUUGUUUAAUGAAAACAUUAACAUUCUAGUUUCAAAUAACAACUUAAUAUCAAUGUAUAAGACAGUCCACUAUUGUAAUAGUCAGAGGAAACUUGCAUCUAACUUCUUCAAAGUGCAAAGACCUUUUUAUCAUAUUGUUGGCAUGCUGGGGUCCAGACUAUAUACAGCUUGGGUACACAGAGGUACAGUCUUGUGUUAAGAACUCAGAAAAGUGUAAAGCCUACACCUCUCUUCUAGGCUCUUGCAAGUCCACAGUCCUUAGAGGCAGCAGUCCCCAGCCCUGGGUUCGUGAUCCUUCUCAGAACCGUUCAGUCUUUCGGCCUUAGAGAACAGAGUGCUAUUGCUAGGAUGGCUCAGGUUUAACCUUUGGUUUCAGGUCAAAAUUGUCCUCUUUACAGGCACUUAAAUCCCAAAUCAUUCUGCUUUUCUGAACUCUGCUUAUAGCGAUUCUCUGAACUAUACUUCUGUUUGAGCACAAAAACAGCUCCCGAUUCUUUAAAAGAUGAGAUAUCACUGUAGAUCUCUUCUCUUCUGCACAGCCUGAUGCUAUUUUCUAGGACAAAAUUUUCGUCACUCCAUUUUCUUUUCUCUCCUUGAGCUCACAAGUCCUAAUUCUGAGUCUUUGUGAAAGAACUUGGACAUCACUGAGGACUCAAAUCUUGUGUCCUGGAGUCUCUUUUAUUUUUGAGGAAGAUUAGCCCUGAGAUAACACCUGCUGUCAAUCCUCCUCUUUUUGUUGAGGAAGACUGGCCCUGAGCUAACAUCCGUGCCCAUGUUCCUCCACUUUAUAUGUGGGAUGCCUGCCACAGCAUGGCUUGUCAAGCGGUGCCAAGUCCGCACCCGAGAUCCAAACCGGCGAACCCCGGGCCACCGAAGCGGAAUGUGCGAACUUAACUGUUGCAUCAUUGGGCUGGCCCCCCCGGAGUUUCCAAAUCUCCACUAGAGACCUAUUCUCAGUGGGAUAUACUUUAAAGCUAGGACUUAAAAAAUUUAACAUUUAACAUAUCCAUUACGGUCUUAUUGCCUGCCCUGGGAUAUAUAUCAGAAGUACUGCUUUUUCCCUUAAAAUAUUCUAAACCUCCCAUUUAGCCGGGGGGGGGGGGGGGGGGAGGGAGGGAGGAGGGGUGUAUAAAAAAG